rnacentral:rRNA from 1 species
GACCUACGGGACGCAGCAGUCGGGAAUAAUGCGCAAUGGAGGAAACUCUGACGCAGUGACGCCGCGUAUAGGAAGAAGGUUUUCGGAUUGUAAACUAUUGUCGUUAGGGAAGAGAAAGGACAGUACCUAAGGAGGAAGCUCCGGCUAACUACGUGCCAGCAGCCGCGGUAAUACGUAGGGAGCGAGCGUUAUCCGGAAUUAUUGGGUGUAAAGGGUGCGUAGACGGGAAUACAAGUUAGUUGUGAAAUCCCUCGGCUUAACUGAGGAACUGCAACUAAAACUAUAUUUCUUGAGUGCAGGAGAGG